rnacentral:rRNA from 1 species
UACGAAGGGGGCUAGCGCUGCUCGGAAUCACUGGGCGUAAAGGGUGCGUAGGCGGGUCUUUAAGUCAGGGGUGAAAUCCCAAGGCUCAACCUUGGAACUGCCUUUGAUACUGGGGAUCUCGAGUCCGGAAGAGGUUGGUGGAACUGCGAGUGUAGAGGUGAAAUUCGUAGAUAUUCGCAAGAACACCAGUGGCGAAGGCGGCCAACUGGUCCGGUACUGACGCUGAGGUGCGAAAGCGUGGGGAGCAAACAGG